rnacentral:rRNA from 1 species
CGGAGGAUCCAAGCGUUAUCCGGAAUCAUUGGGUUUAAAGGGUCCGUAGGCGGUUUUGUAAGUCAGUGGUGAAAGCCCAUCGCUCAACGGUGGAACGGCCAUUGAUACUGCAAGACUUGAAUUAUUGGGAAGUAACUAGAAUAUGUAGUGUAGCGGUGAAAUGCUUAGAGAUUACAUGGAAUACCAAUUGCGAAGGCAGGUUACUACCAAUAUAUUGACGCUGAUGGGCGAAAGCGUGGGGAGCGAACAGGAUUAGAUACCCUGGUAGUCCACGCCGUAAACGAUGGAUACUAGCUGUUCGGAGCAAUCUGAGUGGCUAAGCGAAAGUGAUAAGUAUCCCACCUGGGGAGUACGUUCGCAAGAAUG